rnacentral:rRNA from 1 species
UACGAAGGGGGCUAGCGUUGUUCGGAAUUACUGGGCGUAAAGCGCACGUAGGCGGGUUAUUAAGUCAGGGGUGAAAUCCCGGAGCUCAACUCCGGAACUGCCUUUGAUACUGGUAAUCUAGAGAUCGGAAGAGGUUAGUGGGAUUCCCAGUGUAGAGGUGAAAUUCGUAGAUAUUGGGAAGAACACCAGUGGCGAAGGCGGCUAACUGGUCCGAUACUGACGCUGAGGUGCGAAAGCGUGGGGAGCAAACAGG